rfam:Alkaliphilus metalliredigens QYMF, complete genome.
AAAAAAGAGGGGUUGUAGGGGAUGAAAUCCCCUGCCCGUUUUCAGGAAGGUGCUCAGCCAGCUUCACUGGCGUCGAAGGAAAC